rnacentral:rRNA from 4 species
AAAUUGAAGAGUUUGAUCAUGGCUCAGAUUGAACGCUGGCGGCAGGCCUAACACAUGCAAGUCGAACGGUAACAGGAAGCAGCUUGCUGCUUCGCUGACGAGUGGCGGACGGGUGAGUAAUGUCUGGGAAACUGCCUGAUGGAGGGGGAUAACUACUGGAAACGGUGGCUAAUACCGCAUAACGUCGCAAGACCAAAGAGGGGGACCUUCGGGCCUCUUGCCAUCAGAUGUGCCCAGAUGGGAUUAGCUAGUUGGUGAGGUAACGGCUCACCAAGGCGACGAUCCCUAGCUGGUCUGAGAGGAUGACCAGCCACACUGGAACUGAGACACGGUCCAGACUCCUACGGGAGGCAGCAGUGGGGAAUAUUGCACAAUGGGCGCAAGCCUGAUGCAGCCAUGCCGCGUGUAUGAAGAAGGCCUUCGGGUUGUAAAGUACUUUCAGCGGGGAGGAAGGUGUUGUGGUUAAUAACCGCAGCAAUUGACGUUACCC